rnacentral:rRNA from 1 species
AGUGAACGCUGGCGGUAGGCCUAACACAUGCAAGUCGAACGGCAGCACAGUAAUAGCUUGCUCUUACGGGUGGCGAGUGGCGGACGGGUGAUGAAUACAUCGGAAUCUACUUUUUCGUGGGGGAUAACGUAGGGAAACUUACGCUAAUACCGCAUACGACCUACGGGUGAAAGCAGGGGAUCUUCGGACCUUGCGCGAUUGAAUGAGCCGAUGUCGGAUUAGCUAGUUGGCGGGGUAAAGGCCCACCAAGGCGACGAUCCGUAGCUGGUCUGAGAGGAUGAUCAGCCACACUGGAACUGAGACACGGUCCAGACUCCUACGGGAGGCAGCAGUGGGGAAUAUUGGACAAUGGGCGCAAGCCUGAUCCAGCCAUACCGCGUGGGUGAAGAAGGCCUUCGGGUUGUAAAGCCCUUUUGUUGGGAAAGAAAAGCAGCAGGUUAAUACCCCGCUGUUCUGACGGUACCCAAAGAAUAAGCACCGGCUAACUUCGUG